UUACAGCUUAGUGAAAUGUGACUCCUUAGAGCAGCAAAACUGAACACACACACAUAACACAGAGACGCAAAACUUCUUAUCAUUGAACAACGUAAUGAAGAAUAAGAAUAAUGGCCUGCAGAAAGGUCUGCCUCCAGCAUUCCAAAGGAGUUAAUAUGUUACCUGUGUAAUAGACUAGCUCAUCCCAGCCAGGUUUGUGCCACGCAGCAUUCCUUAUAUCUUCUCUGGUCUGGAGAUCUUUGUAAGCUGGCAAGAGACAACAGCGAGCACAAAGCUUCCUGAUCUUGCUCUCCGUACCACGUGUUCCAAGUCCCCACCAGUGCACAUGGGUAGUGUUUUUCUUCAUGAAUCUUUGGCAGCACCUCUUGACUUGAAAACAAGGAAUACAGACACUAUGUUGCAUUUCCUUCAGGGAGGCUACAGUUGAUAUGUAUAACAAAUCACCACACGUUUAUCAUUAUGGUACGAAAAUUCACAAGCUCUACGUUUCAGAAGAGAAAGCUGAAAUACAAGAAUCUGCUUUGCGAGGGGAAAGAUAGCUACAGGUCUACAUAAAAAUAAGGUGAGUGCUACUAUUUCUUACUGUAUGACAAAUGCACACCAUGGUAGAACACUCUGGAUGCAAUGAAUUACGUGAUAACACCUGGGUUAUCCAACACAUUAGGGAAACAAACAGCAGGAUGUCUCACAGGAAGCACAGCCUAGCUACACGGGUGAUUUGCUUUAGGAAAACGUUUUCUUCAUCAACACAAUACACAACAGUAGAAAAGGACAGGCUUUCUUCUUUACCAGCAACAAUGUUAUUAAUAAAAAUUAAUUAAUUAAAUUGAUUAAUAAAAACAAGUGUUUUGAUUGACCAAAUGAAGGCUGUGCUCAAUACUAUGCUGCCUUACUGCUUCCUCCAAGGCUUCAGAAAGCAGAUCUAGUUUGAGGCAACUUAUCAGUGAAGCACGUGAUGAAACUGCCAUGAAAACACGACUAACACCAAAUUUCUGUUUGACUAUUUUCAGUAAAGGCAGUGCUUCUUCAAACUUUAAAAGGUGACUUACAUUAACAUUGGGAAAUUAAGUUUUCCUGACAGCUAACUUGGUUAAGUCAGCUUUCACUGCAUGAACACUGAUGAAUGUCUAUUGGGCUGGUUGAACUUUGCCUUUUAAUAUUUUCCCCUGAAUAAUUACUACUCUUACCCUGCAGCCAACAGGCAGUAUUUCUGCAAGGUAUCAAGUAAUAGCAAGUAGGCUGGUCUUGUCCUGACACACAAUCAGAAUAUGCAAGUCUUCCUCUUGGUUCUACCACUGACUUUCUUGAUGACCCACAACAAACUUCAUCACCAAUUUAUAUUUCAGUAUUUCUCAUUACAGUGGAAAUUAUACAACAGAAAACUUUCCAGUGAUGUUUGCAGUCACUAUCAGUUUGGUUUUGCAAAGCAUAACAAGAUCCUAGAGAGGCAGCUUUAAGCAGGAACGUUAAAUUAUUACUACAGUAACCACUAAAGGUAUUUUUCCAAAAUAUAUUAAAAAAAGACACGGUAUGAUGUCAUUCACAGACUUGAAAACCAUCUUUUUCCUUUUAAAAAUAACUUACAACUUCUUCAGAAGGAGAUCCUUACCCACAGUGAUUCAUGAAGUGUUCUCCUAAUUGCCUUCGUUAUGUUCUUCCUUUAUGAACACAUGCUGACUAAUCUUUCUAAGGAAUUUGCUUGUUCAUGCUUAAUUUAGGGGGAGGAAGAAGGGAAGUUCAGAAGCGCCUUCAUUUCUUAAUUUCUGCCUUCUCAAGUUUCCUCCUUCCCUUCAAUACUUCAACUAUCCUUAGUUUGGAAAGAAGACAUUUAACCCCACAUACUUCAUCUGGCUGCUAUCAGCAGUUUCCUUCUUUGUUAUCAUUUCUUUCCUUGAGAAUAAAAGCCUCUGCUUUCAUGCUACAUCUAGGUAGCUCACGCGAUACACAGAGAAGUGGCUCUCUGCCUCAUAUAAUUGGAUGUGUUUAUAUUAAGCUUUUAAACAGAAAGAGGGCUGAAUGCUAGUCAUGCCUCUCUGUAUAUGUAUUUUUUAGGUUAAAGUUUUAGGUUAAAGGUAAAUAUACCUUCUGUCAUAAAGUAACUGUACAAUAAGGAAAACAGGUUUGGGUUAUCUAGACCCAUUUCAAAGCUUAAUAUGGCUAAGUUAGACAAUGUUGGACAAAGAACUCCUAACAGAGUUGAGGACAUAAAUGAGGAGGUGUGAACUUCCUUACUCUCCAGCCCAACUCAUGUCCCAGUCAAUCCACCACUGCUAAAACCUGGUACCUCUGUACUGAGAAUGUUUUAUUGCACUGACAACGUGAUCAAGGACAGUGGGAAACCCUGCUGUUUCCAAACAUGGGAGCUCUACUAUAUUUCCAAUUUAUACAUUCAGUAUUGGCAUCAUGUAUGCAGGACAGGGCUAAUAUUUCUCUAAUUUGGUUCCUGAAUCAGUACAUUUUAAACAUUACUCUUCAUGCAUUUUAGAAAGCUGUGACUUUCUGGAUAACUAAUGAGAGCACUGCUCUCUCUGGAGGUUAUCAUCCCAACACACAGAUCCUAUCCAAAGCCUGCUUAGCUCUUUAAAGUACAUCUCUCAGUAAUGUAACUUUGUAGAAAGAAGACAGAGAUGAACUGAGGAAGAAUCAAAUCAUGCAUUUUCAAAAUCUCCUCCAAACUAUACUUCAACACUGGCAUGCAGCUUUACUUACCAGUGAUCUCUCCCUUUCCUUCCUAUAUGAAGACAAUAAUACCUGCCAGCAAGUUCCUACAUGGCAGGAGUUGGGGGGGCAUACUAGCAUGUAAGGAUCUAAUUGCUAUUGUAAAGCUAAGGGUGGGAAGGAAGCUAUUCCAACAAACUUCACCUGUGUUUGCACAAAAGGCAUCACCCUGAACUGCAGAUUAAGAAAUGACACUUCCAAAAGGGAAAGUAAGGGGUGAUCUGAGUCAAGUACCUUUUGCCAUCUUUCUCCAAGAAUAACAACAUCUAUUUACCAUCAUACCCUGAAAGCAAAAGCUGAAUUCGUCCACCUCCCCACAAAUAUUUAUUGCAUUUGCCAAUUUUUAGAAUGCUUAUGGUCAAAUCAACAUGUCUGAGAUGUGAAAACAUAACACGCACACUUACCAAAGCUUGUUGUAGGCCUCUAGGCAUUCUGGUUUUACAUUGUGAACUGAAACAACAACAGUAGAUGAGAAAUGCAGGAAUGGAACAGAGAAACUGUAACGUUAAACAUAAGAAUAACACUCACUCUGUAGUUUAUACAGACUGCUGGUCUCUCUUUUGGCUAGAAGGUUGGAGUGAGCAUCUUUCCUUGGAUCGACUUUGCGAACAAAUAGCGAUUUUAACCAACUGUCUUCACGAGGUCUGCUAGCUGAAGAUACCAUCCCCCUACAUAUCAACAAGUACAUUACACUGUCACUGAGCACGUCUUGAAAAUGCCCAUAAUGCAGGGAAGACGGGCACGAUCAAGUAUAAUACAAACAAAAUUAAAACAGUUACAUCCAACUCUGCUCCUCAGUCUUUCCACUGAGCCACUUGGCAGCAAGGUAAAGGCAGCUCUUUUCACAGUGGGAAAAAUUACCUCCUCACAAACCAUUUUAUGUGAUACAGAGCUGAACACUUAACCAUGCACUCUCUACUCUCAUUCUUUGUAAGCAAAUGGGUAAGAAAUGGGUAGUUGGCUGCCUUUGUUGUCUUUUUAUAUUCUUUCUAAUGAAGCAUAUUUACCCAAUGUCUGUCUUGAUGUAUACAGGAGUGAAAAAGAGCAAGAAAUAGCAUAAGGAAAGAUUUGUACAGUGUAAAUAGGAAAGUAAGUGCCAUAUGUUCCUAUGUUUGCUUAAAUACAGCUCUGGAAAGGAAAAGUUAAGUGACACAUCUAUUGUAUUUAACUGAACCUUUAUGCCCCCAAUCUUGAAUGUUCUUUCUUCUUCCUCAAAAGAAGCACUUCCUUCACUUUACCCUUUUGAUACAGAGUUUUUGCUGAAAUACUGAACUAUUUCUCUGAAAUACUAAGAAAGUGGCAGCACAUUUUCUAUCUCAGAAGCCAACUUUAUACCCUGCACCACUAUGAGAUCCAGAUGACAGGUUUCGAUCUUCAGGUACAAAUCUCUCUUCCAGUAUCAAAACUUCCUGACAAUUCCUCAAAGAAAAAAAAAAAAAAGGAGAAGAAAAUAUCAACUUCUUUUGGUGGAAAAAAAAUCUCAGAGAACACAGUUGUUUGUAUUGCAGAAAAGCAAUUCACACCAGCAGCACUCCUCAACAAUCAGCAUUUGAAAACUAAUGAACUGGGAUACCCUGUGGAAGCGGAUGAACUGAGAAGUAUUUUAUAGCAGAGAAAUAGUAAGUACCAAAACAACCACAGCCAAGACAAUCUUCAAUGCUAAGAAGUAAUUGGUAAGUAUUUUGUUUUAUUUAUUGAAGACGGUCCUUUAUUUGACCUUAGAAAAUCAUACAAGCACAUUCCUGCGCGGUCAUUCCUGAGUACAAGCAUUCAAAAGGGCAUUCCAUGAUAUAGCUGCUGCCAGAGGAGGGUGGUGCAGAAGAAGAGGUUUCACUGAUCUCAACUGAGGGAGGAGAGAGGCACAGCACAGCUGUUUUAUACCUGCACCAGGUGCCACAGGAAGGCACCAUGCCCCACCUGAGGCCACGCUGGAGAGCCCACCCAAUAAAGGCAUGCUCUUUUAGAGCUCCUGUACAGUAAGCACUGUUACUCACUGGACACAAAACUGGGCUCCUGGGGGUGGGACUCCAUUUCAGCCCUGCAGUGCUUGUUCUUUCAUCUAAAGGGAGAUCUGUGCAGUACUGACAUAUUCUCCUCCAAUUACUAAAUGCAAUUAGCAAACUAAUAUUCAGAGCAUUCUUCUGUGAGGAAUGAAAUAAGUACUUCAGAUGUUUAUGCAAUCUUUUACUCAGGACUUGUAAAGUUCCUUGUCAACAAUGACUAAUAAAUCACAACUAGCCAUCUAAA